GCCCGCUUCCUCCAGUGAAGACGUAGUUGCGGGUGGCUGUGGUGGCGGCGUCCAAGAUGUCGACCAAGAAUUUCCGAGUCAGUGACGGUGACUGGAUUUGCCCUGACAAAAAAUGUGGAAAUGUAAACUUCGCCAGAAGAACCAGCUGUAAUAGAUGUGGUCGGGAGAAAACAACUGAGGCUAAAAUGAUGAAAGCUGGGGGCACUGAAAUAGGAAAGACACUUGCAGAAAAGAGUCGAGGCCUAUUUAGUGCUAAUGACUGGCAGUGUAAAACUUGCAGUAAUGUGAAUUGGGCCAGAAGAUCAGAAUGUAACAUGUGUAAUACUCCUAAAUAUGCUAAGUUAGAAGAAAGAACAGGGUAUGGUGGUGGUUUUAAUGAAAGAGAAAAUGUUGAAUAUAUAGAAAGAGAAGAAUCUGAUGGUGAAUAUGACGAGUUUGGACGUAAAAAGAAAAAAUACAGAGGGAAGGCAGUUGGUCCUGCAUCUAUUUUAAAGGAAGUUGAAGACAAAGAAUCUGAGGGAGAAGAAGAGGAUGAGGAUGAAGAUCUUUCCAAAUAUAAGUUAGAUGAGGAUGAGGAUGAAGAUGAUGCUGAUCUAUCAAAAUAUAAUCUUGAUGCCAGUGAAGAAGAAGAUAGUAAUAAAAAGAAAUCUAAUAGACGAAGUCGUUCAAAAUCUCGAUCUUCACAUUCACGAUCUUCAUCAAGCUUAUCCUCCCCCUCAAGUUCAAGGUCUAGGUCCAGGUCCCGUUCAAGAAGUUCUUCCAGUUCGCAGUCAAGAUCUCGUUCCAGUUCCAGAGAACAUUCGAGAUCUCGUGGGUCGAAAUCAAGAUCCAGCUCCAGGUCCCACAGGGGCUCUUCUUCCCCAAGAAAAAGAUCUUACUCAAGCUCAUCAUCAUCUCCUGAGAGGAACAGAAAGAGAAGUCGUUCUAGAUCUUCUUCAUCUGGUGAUCGAAAAAAAAGACGAACAAGAUCACGGUCACCCGAAAGGUGAUUGGUGAAAACACUAAACAACCCUGAGCCCAGGGCCAACCCCUCGGAACACCACUACUUUACCCAGGCACCACAGGUCAUCUUCUGGAUCAUCCCAUUCUGGUUCCCGUUCAAGUUUGAAAAAGAAAUAAUGUAUUAAAAUAUACAUCUUUAAAAAAAAAAAAAAAAGUACAGUGCAUGAAGCAUAUUUUUUAAGAAGUUGGUGUCUUAACUUGGUCAGAAGUGCUAAAUCUACUAGUAGAGGUGCAUGCCUUUCAUUGCUUUUCAGAACAAUACAGCUGUGUUUAUUUGUGAAAUUAAAAGUAAAUAGUAUUUUAAGCCAUAAUGUUCCAGAAUAGCGGCUCUAUUUAUCAUUCAUCUUUAUAACCAUUUGUUUCAUUUAAUACCAUCUCAGCUAUAUAGCAAAGUAAUUUGUUUACUAAUUUGAACUCUUGUUUUUCUCAUUUCCAAAUAUGAAUUGUUUACUUAAGACAGGUUGUUGUUGAAAACAGUUUAUGUUAAUUUGGGGAAAGGUGUCAACUUCUUUAUGUAAACCUAUGUUUAAAGUUAUUCUUAGCAGAAAAUUAGUUAAAACUAGUUAAACAGUUGGUCACCUAGAAAAUUAUCUAUAUGCUGAGGGUGCCUUAGAAUCAUUUUUUCUCUUAUCCAGUUUUACUUUUUGUACCAUCACAUCUAAUGCAGAAAAAUCUUAUAAUUGCAGAAGAAAAAAUGUUAUUUAUUUCACCCUUUCUAAUCCAUGAUUUUGAGCAAGACAUUGUUAGUUCAUCUUUUCUCUACUGUUAAGUUAUCUGAUGAGAAAAACAUCAUAUUUUCAGAUUGUUUGUCCUAAUGUGUUAAGACAUGUAUGAGAUCCCCUUUAAAUCUAGUUACCACAUUAUCACAUAGAAUAAGGUAAACAAAACUGUGUCAUAUUUAUUGGGGAACAAAUUGGUGAAAGCUUCUGAAGUAUUCCUCUCUUUGUAUUAAAGAGAGUAGAGGCAUUGCGAAUUUAAGUGAACGUUUAUCUUGCAGUGUUUAACUUUAAACACUGCUUCUCUUCUAAGCAGAACCUAAGUUCUGACAAAAGCAGAAACAAUUUUUAUUCUUGUUCACUUUAAAUUACUUAUGGCUUAAAAUACUUGAAGAGUUUGUUUUUUUCUUAAAAUCUGGUCACUCCAGCUCCAUUUUGUGUCUGGUUUAAAACAGAUUUCUCUUAACAGAGUCUACAGUGACAAGCAAGGUAAGUAUAUUAAGGGAAAGAAACAUUUGUGCUUGCUUGGGGGCUUUUUGUCAUGGGGAUCAGUGCCCACUUUUCCUUGUUUUUCUUUUUUUGGUUGAUGUUUUUUGUUUUUCCCUUAACAUUAGUUAAUGUCUACUUCAAUUAAAAAGUAAAGCAUUUUAAAAUACAUAGUAGACAGAACAGUUUUUGUUUCUUCAAAAUGAGUGAUUUUUCUCAACUAAAGAUGAAAGCAAAGUAUGUAGAAAUAUUUUGAUAUUUUUACAUGAAUUUCCCCUUGUUUUUUUAUGUCUUAAUUUUCUUUGCUACGUUUACCAUAGGUUGCACAAGAACUUUUACUCUCUUGUAAUUGUGCCUCAGACUUCUUGAAAGUCCACCUUCUAAAUUGCCCAGAUGAUCUUCUAGAUUCUACAUGUUACCGUUGGUUUAUUCUUGUGCUUUCUGUAUUUAAAACUUUGGCUGUACUAAAUAAAUGCAAGGUUAUAAAUUUAGCUAAUAGUAGAUUACAGACAACUCAAAUGAUUAUGAUUUCAUUUGGUUUGACUAAGCUGUAAUAGUUCAUUUCAUAAGGAAAUGAUGCUGUAGACAAAUGUAAAUAAAACCUGUGAGUCAAG